GUCGAGCGGUAGCACAGAGGAGCUUGCUCCUUGGGUGACGAGCGGCGGACGGGUGAGUAAUGUCUGGGAAACUGCCUGAUGGAGGGGGAUAACUACUGGAAACGGUAGCUAAUACCGCAUAACCUCGCAAGAGCAAAGAGGGGGACCUUAGGGCCUCUCGCCAUCAGAUGUGCCCAGAUGGGAUUAGCUAGUAGGUGAGGUAAUGGCUCACCUAGGCGACGAUCCCUAGCUGGUCUGAGAGGAUGACCAGCCACACUGGAACUGAGACACGGUCCAGACUCCUACGGGAGGCAGCAGUGGGGAAUAUUGCACAAUGGGCGCAAGCCUGAUGCAGCCAUGCCGCGUGUGUGAAGAAGGCCUUCGGGUUGUAAAGCACUUUCAGCGAGGAGGAAGGCGGUAAGGUUAAUAACCUUAUCGAUUGACGUUACUCGCAGAAGAAGCACCGGCUAACUCCGUGCCAGCAGCCGCGGUAAUACGGAGGGUGCAAGCGUUAAUCGGAAUGACUGGGCGUAAAGCGCACGCAGGCGGUCUGUUAAGUUGGAUGUGAAAUCCCCGGGCUUAACCUGGGAACUGCAUUCAAAACUGACAGGCUAGAGUCUUGUAGAGGGGGGUAGAAUUCCAGGUGUAGCGGUGAAAUGCGUAGAGAU
rnacentral:rRNA from 1 species